rnacentral:ncRNA from 1 species
AGGGUCUUAGACUCCCCACGAGUGUCGUGUAAAUAGUGCCUGUCUUUGGCCGGAUAGCACGGUUUGUGAAUC